GUACAUGCCUACAUCAUAGCAUAAAUGCACUAGAUUUCAUUAUAACUCCGCAGUUAAGUGCAUUGGGAUAGAGUAGUAUUGGGAUGAGUUACCACCCAGGAAGUUCCAGUGUCUUACAUG
rfam:Picea glauca, whole genome shotgun sequence.